GACGAACGCUGGCGGCGUGCUUAACACAUGCAAGUCGAACGGAAAGGCCCUGCUUUUGUGGGGUGCUCGAGUGGCGAACGGGUGAGUAACAUGUGAGUAACCUGCCCUUGACUUUGGGAUAACUUCAGGAAACUGGGGCUAAUACCGGAUAGGAGCUCCUGCUGCAUGGUGGGGGAUGGAAAGUUUCGGCGGUUGGGGAUGGACUCGCGGCUUAUCAGCUGGUGGGGGGGGUAGUGGCUUACCAAGGCUUUGACGGGUAGCCGGCCUGGGAGGGUGACCGGCCACAUUGGGACUGGGAUACGGCCCGGACUCCUACGGGAGGCAGCAGUGGGGAAUAUUGCACAAUGGGCGGAAGCCUGAUGCAGCAACGCCGCGUGCGGGAUGACGGCCUUCGGGUUGUAAACCGCUUUCGCCUGUGACGAAGCGUGAGUGACGGUAAUGGGUAAAGAAGCACCGGCUAACUACGUG
rnacentral:rRNA from 1 species